rnacentral:rRNA from 1 species
AGCUCCAAAAGUGAAUAUAAUAGUUGUUGCAGUUGAAACGCUCGUAGUAGAAUUUGUUUUUUUGUUCUUUCCUUUUCUCUUUGAGGAUUGGGGGAGCGAUUCCUUUCGGGGCCGUGGUGCCGCGCGCGCUCGCUUGAUUGCCGAGGCGCCGGCGCCGCCAAAGCGGCCCCCUCGUGACUGUGAGAAAAUCUAAGUGCUCAAAGCAAGCGGCCUUCCGCGUCUGCAAGCUCUAGCUCAGGAUCACAAGAUACGGCGCUUCUUGAAAGGUGCAGUUUUUUGUUUGGUCUCACACCGGCGCAAUGAUGAACAGGAACGGGCGGGGCUAUUCGUACUCUGAGGGCUAGAGGUGAAAUUCUUUGAUUCCUCGAUGACGAACGAAUGCGAAGGCAUUUAGCAAGCA